rnacentral:sRNA from 1 species
GCGAACCGCGCCCUUCGGCCACGAACCGGAUGGCGGCCCCUUCCCCUGUGCCGACGUGCGCCAGCACGCGCGGCGGGUGGGCGGCGAUCCCGUCCCCCCAGCGGUCUUCAUACCCUGAAGCCCAAAUGAAGAGCCCGGCGAACGCCGGGCU